rnacentral:sRNA from 2 species
UGCAUCUGAAGCCUGACGAGGAUGAGAACCUCCGGGGGCAAGAGGUUCGACUCGAGCGCAGCGAGAGAACGUUGCGCCAGCAACGGCCCGCAGGGCGAGCCACGCAGUGGCGAGUCAUCCUCUAUCACCGACCA